GUCACAACUAUUAUGUCAGUUUCAUCGAUGCUUUCAGUCGCUUUACUUGGAUUUAUCUUAUUAAGCGCAAAUCUGAUGUGUUUCAUGUCUUUAUGCAAUUUCAAGCACAUGUUGAACGAUUACUUAAGCACAAAAUUAUCCAUGUUCAGUCAGACUGGGGGGGGGGGUGAGUAUCGUAACCUUAACACCUUCUUUCAGAAGCUUGGCAUCUCACACCAUGUGUCUUGUCCUCAUACACAUCAGCAGAACGGUGCAGCUGAGCGCAAACACCGUCACAUAGUUGAAACUGGCCUGACACUUCUUGCACAUGCCUUUGUCCCGUUUCGGUUCUGGAGCGAUGCUUUUGUUACUGCCUGUUUUUUGAUAAACAGGAUUCCCACACGACGCCUUCACAUGAAGUCUCCACUCGAAGUGUUGCUUAAUGAAACUCAAGAUUACUCCCUCCUCAAAGUGUUCGGCUGUGCGUGUUGGCCGCAUCUUCGUCCGUACAAUAAGCAUAAACUUGAGUAUCGAUCUAAACAAUGUGUGUUUCUUGGGUACAGUCCUCUCCACAAAGGUUACAAGUGUCUUCACAUCCCGUCAAAUCGUGUUUACAUUUCUCGUGAUGUUGUGUUCGAUGAGACUGUCUUCCCGUUUUCCACGCUCACAUCACCCACCGAUACUCCCGUCACUGAGUUGCUCUCUUUUCCAGUUUUGCCUGAUCAAUUUGUGGAUGCUGCAUAUUCUCCUCUGUUGUUGCCUAAC
rnacentral:rRNA from 1 species